rnacentral:rRNA from 1 species
UGGGUAACCUGCCUCUUGCUCUAGGAUAACUCCGGGAAACCGGGGCUAAUACCGGAUAUUCAUUACCGAUCGCAUGGUUGGUUGUGGAAAGUUUUUCGGCGAGAGAUGGGCCCGCGGCCUAUCAGCUAGUUGGUGGGGUGAUGGCCUACCAAGGCGACGACGGGUAGCCGGCCUGAGAGGGCGACCGGCCACGCUGGGACUGAGACACGGCCCAGACCUCCUACGGGAGCA